rnacentral:rRNA from 1 species
GUGAGGAAUAUUGGUCAAUGGGCGGGAGCCUGAACCAGCCAAGUCGCGUGAAGGAAGAAGGAUCUAUGGUUCGUAAACUUCUUUUGCAGGGGAAUAAAGUGCAGGACGUGUCCUGUUUUGUAUGUACCCUGAGAAUAAGGAUCGGCUAACUCCGUGCCAGCAGCCGCGGUAAUACGGAGGAUCCGAGCGUUAUCCGGAUUUAUUGGGUUUAAAGGGUGCGUAGGUGGUUUGAUAAGUCAGCGGUGAAAGUUUGCAGCUUAACUGGAAAAAUGCCGUUGAAACUGUCGGACUUGAGUGUAAAUGAGGUAGGCGGAAUGCGUGGUGUAGCGGUGAAAUGCAUAGAUAUCACGCAGAACUCCGAUUGCGAAGGCAGCUUACUAAGCUACAACUGACACUGAAGCACGAAAGCGUGGGGAUCAAACAGGAUUAGAAACCCUGGUAGUCC